rnacentral:lncRNA from 1 species
GAAACUAAAACGUAGCAGUCUGACCCCCAGCUGCGGGGUAACCGGCUCCCACGUGGUACCCUAGGAAAAACUGCACUGCACUGGGCCGCUGCAGUGAACAACGCCCGAGCUGCCCGCUGUCUCCUCCAGACUGGAGCGGAUAAAGAUGCCCAGGACAGUAGGGAGCAGACGCCGCUGUUCCUGGCUGCGCGCGAAGGCGCCGUGGAGGUGGCACAGCUGCUGCUGGAGAUCGGGGCAGCGCGGGGGCUGCGGGACCAGGCCGGGCUGGCCCCAGCAGAUGUGGCCCGCCAGCGUAGUCAUUGGGACCUGCUGACGCUGCUGGAGGGGGCAGGACCGAUCACGCAGGAGGCCCGUUCGCACGCACGCAACACGCCGGGGGGCGGGGCCGCGCCGCGCUGCCGGACGCUGUCUGCCGGAGCGCGCCCGCGCGGGGGCGGAGCUUGUCUGCAAGCUCGCACUUGGUCGGUGGACUUGGGAGCGCGCCGAGGGGCGGUAUACGCGCGCUGCCGGAGCCGAUCAGGAGGCUCUGGAGGCCCCUCCAUGCGCGGCCG